GUGUAUGGCAGCAGCAGCUCAUGCUUGGUACACUCCACCACCCCCAGCCGGGCUUUGCUCUCAUCCUCAAAUGCCCUGAGGAGGAGAAGGAGAAAGAAUCAGACAGACAACAGUACCAGGAAUCUUGUGUUGGAUUCUUUAUCAACCACCAGAUCCUGCAGCCCCUGAAAACAUGUAACAUGCUGGAUGGGCCGCUCCACAUGAGUGUAGGUGUGUAAGUGGGUAACAACCUGUAAUGGACUAACAACUUGUCAAAAGUGUAUUCCCAUUUUCAUAGAGGGUUCAUAGUAAUGUUCAUAGUAGUGGUUAACUAAAAAAAAGCAAUUUGAUUGUUAUGUAUUAUGUAUCCCACUGGUUGAUGUUGACCUUGAAUGUAACAAUAAUUCAUAUCAAAUUUGUGUUCAAAGUUUUAAUCUGGGUGUGGGACAGUUUGGGUGUGGGUUCUUUAUCAGUACUUCCAAAUGCAAAUGAUAAACAAAACUGUGUAAAAACAUAAUAAAUUUGACAUUAUUCA